rnacentral:tRNA from 67 species
GCCGCCUUAGCUCAGUUGGUUAGAGCGCCGGUUUGUGGAACCGGAGGUCCUCAGUUCAAGCCUGAGAGGCGGUACCA